CACCCAAAGCCUUAGCUUCUGGCUCACGCUCCCUAUUUCCUCCUCAGGCUCCUCCUUGCCCGUGAAGACCUUAUUGUGGUGUGGAUAACGCUGAGGUUUACAAUGCAGAGGCCUGCAUGCCAGAAACGCCUGAGGUCCCUGUCAGUUCCUAUAGCCCCAUGCCAGUCUCUUCAUGUCCCUGUCACAUGGCUUCCUUCCUGGUCCAUCCUAGGAGGAUACCUGCACCCAUCUCUGGAUGAGGAUUUAUGAAUUAUGUCUGGAGAGCACUUUGGAUGGGCAACAACAUACAGAGAAACCAAAUCAUUUCGCCAAGGAAGGAGACGUGGCCUUCACAACCAUGCGUAGAUCUCGACUGGACCUGGAGAGCAAAGUUGGUGGCUGAUGCUCAGAUCUGUGUUCUAAUUUGCACCUGCGCAUUAGAGAUUGACAGUUAAAUAUAGUAGACCUCCAGCUCUUCUAGAUGAAGGCUUCCUCUUCUCCAAGGUAUCAAAGGUAAGCUACUUAUCCUCCCUUUCAAGGGAACUCUCUGGCCUAACUCCACCCUGCAUG
rnacentral:lncRNA from 1 species